rnacentral:rRNA from 1 species
UACGAAGGGAGCUAGCGUUGUUCGGAAUCACUGGGCGUAAAGCGCACGUAGGCGGAUUUGUCAGUCAGGGGUGAAAUCCCGGGGCUCAACCUCGGAACUGCCUUUGAUACAGCAAGUCUUGAGUUCGAGAGAGGUGGGUGGGAAUUCCUAGUGUAGAGGUGAAAUUCGUAGAUAUUAGGAAGAACACCAGUGGCGAAGGCGGCUCACUGGCCCGGUACUGACGCUGAGGCGCGAAAGCGUGGGGAGCAAACA